rnacentral:rRNA from 1 species
GACAGAGGGGGCAAGCGUUGCUCGGAAUUACUGGGCGUAAAGGGCGCGUAGGCGGGAUGGCAAGUCGGUCGUGAAAUCCCUCGGCUCAACUGAGGAUCGUCGAUCGAUACUGCCGUUCUUGAGGAUUGCAGAGGAGACUGGAAUUCCCGGUGUAGCGGUGAAAUGUGUAGAUAUCUGGAGGAACACCGGUGGCGAAGGCGGCAUCCUGGACCAACACUGACGCUGAGUGAGCGAAAGCCAGGGGAGCAAACGGG